rnacentral:rRNA from 1 species
UACGUAGGGUGCGAGCGUUAAUCGGAUUUACUGGGCGUAAAGCGCACGUAGGCGGCUUUUUAAGUCAGGGGUGAAAUCCCUGGGCUCAACCUAGGAAUUGCGCUUGUGACUGGCGGGCUCGAGUACGGUAGAGGGGGGUGGAAUUCCUGGUGUAGCAGUGAAAUGCGUAGAGAUCAGGAGGAACACCGAUGGCGAAGGCAGCCCCCUGGGCCUGUACUGACGCUCAUGCACGCAAGCGUGGGGAGCAAACAGG